rnacentral:rRNA from 1 species
AGAGUUUGAUCCUGGCUCAGAUGAACGCUGGCGGCGUGCUUAACACAUGCAAGUCGAGCGAAGCACUUAUGUUUGAUUCUUCAGAUGAAGACUUUUGUGACUGAUCGGCGGACGGGUGAGUAACGCGUGGGUAACCUGCCUCAUACUGGGGGAUAACAGUUAGAAAUGGCUGCUAAUACCGCAUAAGACCACAGUACUGCAUGGAACAGUGGUAAAAACUCCUGUGGUAUGAGAUGGACCCGCGUCUGAUUAGGUAGUUGGUGAGGUAACGGCCCACCGAGCCGACAAUCAGGAACCGACCUGAGAGGGUGACCGGCCACGUUGGGACUGAUACACGGCCCAGACUCCUACGGGAGGCAGCGGUGGGGAAUAUUGCCCAAUGGGCGAAAGCCUGAUGCGUCGACACCGCGUGAAGGAUGAAAUAUUUCGGUAUGUAAACUUCUAUCAACACGUAACAAAAUGACCGUACCUGACUAAGAAGCCCCGGCUAACUACGUGCC